rnacentral:rRNA from 1 species
AACGAACGCUGGCGGCAUGCCUAACACAUGCAAGUCGAACGAGACCUUCGGGUCUAGUGGCGCACGUGUGCGUAACGCGUGGGAACCUGCCCUUAGGUUCGGAAUAACUCCCCGAAAGGGGUGCUAAUACCGGUUAAUGUCUUCGGACCAAAGAUUUAUCGCCUUUGGAUGGGCCCGCGUUGGAUUAGCUGGUUGGUAGGGUAAAAGCCUACCAAGGCGACGAUCCAUAGCUGGUCUGAGAGGAUGAUCAGCCACACUGGGACUGAGACACGGCCCAGACUACUACGGGAGGGAGCAGUGGGGAAUAUUGGAAAAUGGGCGAAAGCCUGAUCCAGCAAUGCCGCGUGAGUGAUGAAGGCCUUAGGGUUGUAAAGCUCUUUUAACCGGGAUGAUAAUGACAGUACCGGGAGAAUAAGCUCCGGCUAACUCCGUG